UACGAAGGGGGCUAGCGUUGUUCGGAAUUACUGGGCGUAAAGCGCACGCAGGCGGAUUGAUAAGUCAGGGGCGAAAUCCCGGGGCUCAACCUCGGAAUUGCCUUUGAUACUGUCUAUCUUCGAGUUCGGGAGAGGUUGGCGGAAUUCCUAGUGUAGAGGUGAAAUUCGUAGAUAUUAGGAAGAACACCAGUGGCGAAGGCGGCCAACUGGCCCGAUACUGACGCUCAUGUGCGAAAGCGUGGGGAGCAAACAGG
rnacentral:rRNA from 1 species